CUCCCACUCACCAGGCUGCAACCUCUGCUACAGCCCCGCGCCAUCAUGAGAUGUGAGUUGUUUCCAAAGAAGCUUAAAUCUGCGUUUUACGUGUGGAAGUUUGCAGCUGUAAUGGGAUUACGGUGUCGGCAGAGGGAGGGAAGUUUGCAGCUGUACUGGUUUGGGGGGGGUAGGAAGCAGCUGUUAAAAUAGAGGACUAAUGGUGAUUAAUUCUUAUUAUGUGUUUGAAGAUCGCACAAUGAGUUCAGGACCCAAACCUUCCCGCAGGGAAUAAACUGAAGGAGGAGGAUUUAAAAAGAGGGAAAAUAGAAGGGGAAUUUUAAUGUACGUUUGGCCUAAGUGGCCUGGUCUUAAAUCACUUGAUUAAUAUUUAAGCAUAAUUUAAAUCAGUGUUAUUAAGACAAAAAAAUAUCUAGCUCGGGAAACCUGUAAUUAAUGGGUGUUUAUGCAGAUUGGGAGAUCACCUGCACUCUUUCAAAAGUGCAUGCACAGGGACCAGACAGGAUGAAGACCCCAUCCCGCAUCCCAAUCUGUUCACGAGCCAUGGUCCAGCACUGAAGCUCCAGCAGCAGGAACAUCCCAACCUGACCUCAGCUCAGUGUACAGCCCCGGGGGAACCUGCUCCGUUUCCCACAUUCAGGGCAAUUCACAUCAGAGCCAGGUUAUUUGCUGCAAUAUUGCGUCUGAGUCCUACAGCCAGCUUGCAGAGAAAUGCAAUGUGCUGGGUAUUCUGAGGCUUCCCCAGAGCACAGCAGGUAGAAGAUAUGAGAUUUCUAUUUAUAUACUGCAGCCUGGCCAAGGAAGUGACAAUUUAACGGCAAAGGUAAGGGGAUGGGGUGUGAAGGUGCCUGCAAAGGCAGUGGUGCAGGCAGUGCAAGGUCCCCUGAGCUCCUGGGGGGCAGUGACCCACUUCGGACCAUGACGGGUCCCUGAGAGUGCCCGACCCUCUGUCUUCUCUCAGCUCAUUGACUUUGUGGCUUGACAACAUAGCAUGGCUCCUGCAGUCCUUCGGCAGAUCAAGAAAAACAAAGAAAAAUUAAAGAUGGUGAACAGCAGCUAUUAGGAUGAUGCAGAACUCGAGUUGGGAUAUUUUCAGCCAUGAGUUUGGAAACAACACUCUGUCUACUGCACGGUCACUGUGCAGCAACAUACAGAAAUCGAUGGAGCGAUGGAGAAAAGGAAAAAAGGAAGAAGCCUGCACCACUUAGGAUAUUCAAGGCAGAAAUACUUGCAACUUUAAAAUUCAUGCUUUUUUUUUUUUUUUU
rnacentral:lncRNA from 1 species